GGGUUCUACCGUUGGUCGGGCUAUAGUCUGUACUGGCGUGUGGAAUUUCUACCUUCUGGGGAACUAUCAUGUUAUUAAUUUAGCGUGGUAGGAAACCAGAACCUUUACCUUGAAAAAAUUAGAGUGUUUCAGGCAGGCAAUUGCUUGGAUACUUCAGCAUGGAAUAAUGGAAUAGGACUU
rnacentral:rRNA from 1 species